rnacentral:lncRNA from 1 species
CUUCAUAGGAGUGGUGCUCUGGCACUUUGAUCAUCUCUGUGGCCCUCCUGUGCACCCACUCCAAGAGCUCUACAACCUUCCCGUGUUACCCACAGCUGGAGGCCACACUGGCAAGGCCUGAAGCCAUCUACCGGUCCUAUAGAAAUGUGUAUUCAAACCCACUCUUCCCUGCUGCCUUGCAGUCUGUGCAUAGUCAUCUGUUGAUCAGUCCCUGCAUUAGCCAUACUCACUGGCUCUGGAAUGAGCAAGGCUGCGGGGGCAGACAGUGUUUGCAGACUCAUCAUCAUAGACAUAGUUGAAAUAUCUUUAUAACACAUUGCACGAGACAUCAGUCUUCAUCUUUAAUUAAAGAAGAUUAAAGACAAGAAAGCCUUAAAGAAAUGUUUGAUGGACAUCUUGAGGAAGAUAUGAAAGCAGCAGUAAACAAAAAGGUACAGUGCCCAUACAACUAUCAGCGUUUUCGUACGCGAAGUAUAAAACAUUGCCUUUGCACAAAUGCCCAACUAACAAGCUAAUCUCGUUUAUUGCAGAACUGUAUUUCUAGAAUUAAUUGAUUAAGAUUUACAAGUUUUUGAGGCAAUAUCUUAGCACUUAAUUAGCACUUUGAAGUCAUUCUCAUAUUUAUUGUGAAAUAUGGGUUUUCAUUAGGUGGUUAGAAGAGAAGACUACAACCUCCCAGUGAUAUUUGUGAUGCAGUUUUGAUUCUUUGAAUAUUUAUGAUUUCUGCUGUUGAAAAAUAAUAGUCUCUUCAAUGGCCUUCUGCUUUUACAGGACACUAGAACUUUACCAAGAGAGUAAUAUAGGUAUUCUUGUUGGUUCCGCUUUACUCUGUACAGUAUAAAAUUAGGACAACUUUCUAGUCUGUUUUUUCACUGUUGUAAAUCUUUUUUGCUGUGCAAUGACAAGUUCAUUCAAUCUCUUUCCAUAAAAAAGAAGAAAAGAAAGAAAAAAGUGCUUUAUGCAGUAAAUGAAGUUUAGGAGACAUUCAAGUUUUAAUUAGAAAGAGAUUCUCUUGUUGUCUUUAUCUGGAACCCUACAUGAGACCAAUGUUAGCUGUCCUGGCAAUAUAAUCAA